rnacentral:misc_RNA from 1 species
AGAUCUUGAUUCCCACCUUCCUCCUAGAAACAAUUAGUGAUACAAGGAUUUAUAUAAUAAAACAGGAAAUUAGUUUUUCCUAGUUCCCAUAUUUCUGCUAUGCUGAGACUUGGCUUGAGAGCGAGUUCUAGGAAGAAAAUUAUGGACAGAAUCCUGCUGUGACUGCUUAUCGGAAGAAAUAAAUUUCUUCUUCUGGCCUAGAAUAUCUACAUUGCCCAAACCUCCGCCUGCAAAUCACACCACAUUGAAAUCACUGCAGAGUUUUGAUGCGAAACUGCAUCAUCAAUUAAAUUGUGCACCAGGCUAUAUACUCCAAGGAUACAGCAUGUAGAACAAAAAUGGCUGUAUAAUCUACAGUUGAACGGUAGCUGCUUCCUUUAAUUAGCCUGAUUUAAGUGAUACAUAACCAGUCAACCAGAUCUAUAUUUUUAUUUCUUUGAAUUUAACUGACUGUCACAGACCAUUGCAAUGCAGGGAGCUCCACGGACUAGGAUGUCUAAUCUCUUUCAUUAAGAAAGAUCAGUACUCACUAAGGAUGCCUAAUUUCUUUGUGUUAAAAUUAACCAAAAGUCAAGCCUAAAUUGCCAGUAAUGGCAAUAAAAAAUAUAGGAGCCAGUUUACUUGCUGGAUUCCCAAUUGUUCAUCUAUAUUUCCCAUUAAACCUAAACAUCAGUUGACAGAAGUGAUGGUGACAUUGUAGCCACUUUUAUGCAACUAUGUCUUUGUUCAAAAGUUGGAAGACUAAUAAAAAAAAGGUUAAAAAUCGAACAGAAUUAUUAUAUAAAACAAAUAAAGAUUGUGCUUUUCAUUUUGACUAAAAUGUGAAGAUCAUCAUUUAUUUUUUCAUAAUGAAUAAAAGGAAAUAUGAGAGAUGGCACCUGCAAAAGUGACAAAACUGACAACUGAAAUGAUAAAUACAAAAUUUCAAACUUUCAGAAUAUGCGUAGAGGAAAAUGUAGAACAAAUUUUGCAUGGCAUAUGAUGUAACAGUUGAAAUGAUAAUUUAAGAAAUGUGGUCUGACUGUAAUUAGAUAUAUUCUACAGGAAACAAAAGCAAUUAUAGACCACAACUUAGAGUUUGUUUACAUACCUGCAGUUUGUUCAUUGGUUUGGACAGCAGUGGAUGCCUGCUCUUUGCUCUUUCUGCCACCCAGAAUAUCACUUUCAGCAUCAAGAGAUGAAGAAACAGUUUUUUUCCUUUUUACUGUACAGCUGUCCUUCUUAGAUAUAUCACCUUUUCCUUCGGAGUAAUUUGAUUCUGUUCCAUGAGUUGACCUACACUUUGCUUCCAAAGUUUCUUGUUGAACUGAAGAACGAGUAAAUCUUUUCCUGUUGGUUGAAGCCCCUAACUUCAGAUCAUCUGCAGAGGUCUUCAUUUGAAUAUUGUUAUUGGAAAUUUCAGAACCAUUACUCUCAUUAACUGCAAGAUUUGCUUCAGAAUAAUUUUCUGCAGUUAUAUGAGAUGAUUUCUCUAGUGAUUCCGUAGCUAGACUUUCUUUUUCUCUACGGAGUGCUGAACGAGUAAGCCUCUUUCCACCAGUUGAAGUCCCUAACUUCAGGUCAUCAGCACAGUUCUUGAUCUGAAUAUUAUCAUUUGCAAUUCCACUAUCAUUCCGAAUAGCUGAGCUCGCAGGCUGGUUUAACUUUGACUGUCUUCUUGUACCUGUGCGAGUACUGGAGAAAAUGACUUCUAAAUUCCUGUCUUCAGCACUAGAAUUGCUGAAUUCUGAGGUCUUAUCUUCAUUUUUCCAUUCUUGAUUCAGCAUUCCAGAGGAUAAUCCUGCAAGUUGUGACUUUGGUGAAGUACUCCUCUGAGUUGAAAUAAGUGACUUCACCAUCUCAACAGAUUCUGAAACAACCGGAAAAGGAGUAGCCAAUAUAUCUGAGGAAGCCUUGUCCUUCAUAUUAACCAUGUUGUUAUUGAACAAGCUGGUUCCAUCUAUUGCGACACCCUUUGUAGUAAUUUGCACUCGUGAGGCAAGAGCUGCACAAGCAGCAAGUGGACUGAGAUGUGACCUGUUUUCUGAAAGUUCUUCAACGGAUGAAGUGAUCACUGGUGGAUCCUCAACUUCUGCUGCCACUUGUAGAUUACUGGACCUCCUGGUUAUUCUUCUCACUGGACUCUGGUCACAAGGAACUUUAACACAUGGAAUGCUUAUUUUGGCUGCAGCAACAAGCUUGCAACUUCCCUUUUUAUCUAAUAUGCUGUUGCCCGCAGAGUAAUGUUCAAUCCUCAAACGAGUUUCUUUCGUAAUUUCUUUCUCCAAUGCAUCAGCUGAUUUGCUGAUAUCUUUUAUUUGCUUUUCCAGAAGAUUACUUAGGUCCACGUCAUAGUUUAUGUCCUCAAUCAGAAAUGGAGAUGCACCAGAAGAUUUCACAUGUUUUUCUGAUUCCAAUAACACUGCAACAGUUGGGUAGACAGUGAUGCUUUUCAUGGCCAAUUUCAUGAUUGAACUAGAUGGGACAGUGAUUCCAUCUUCAAAAUCUUGGUGAAGCCAUUUGAUAGUGAACUUGCAUCUACAGGGGCCCCUAUAGUGCCGUACUCUUAAGACCUUUUCCACCUUAGCAUCAUAGAACAGGCUGCCAAGUCCUGAAUUAUUGGCAGCAAGGACAUGCUCACUCUCUUUGAUUGAAGAACAGUCAUCACCUUUAAGAGGAACAGAACGGAACCGUAAUUGUGUCAGUACUUCUUCCUUGUCCAAGAAUUCAACUCCUGAAUCUUGCCCAAAGUCAACAAAUAGACCAUCUCCAACAGAGCUGAGUGAGACUUUACAAGGAUGCCAAGACGAGUCCUCUUUGCGCUUAGAUUCGAGUUCAAAGUCGCUCUGUGCUGCAGGAAGAGUGGCCAUUUGUAGUGGAGGAUUGGUAGGUGAAAUUGUGAAUGGAGAAGGAUUUUGGGAAU